GACGAACGCUGGCGGCGUGCUUAACACAUGCAAGUCGAACGGUGAAGCUCCAGCUUGCUGGAGUGGAUCAGUGGCGAACGGGUGAGUAACACGUGAGCAACCUGCCCCUGACUCUGGAAUAAGCGCUGGAAACGGCGUCUAAUACUGGAUACGAGAAGGGUCCGCAUGGGCACUUUCUGGAAAGUUGUUCGGUUGGGGAUGGGCUCGCGGCCUAUCAGCUUGUUGGUGAGGUAAUGGCUCACCAAGGCGACGACGGGUAGCCGGCCUGAGAGGGCGACCGGCCACACUGGGACUGAGACACGGCCCAGACUCCUACGGGAGGCAGCAGUGGGAGAUAUUGCACAAUGGGCGAAAGCCUGAUGCAGCGACGCCGCGUGAGGGAUGACGGCCUUCGGGUUGUAAACCUCUUUCAGCAGGGAAGAAGCGAAAGUGACGGUACCUGAAGAAGAAGCACCGGCUAACUACGUG
rnacentral:rRNA from 1 species